AUGCUCACUUGGAAAAACUGGGCGCUGCCGCACGUCCGUUUCUUCCACUGGCUUGCUCACCUCGACAGAUGUUGGACUGCAGACCGCCUUGCUUGCCGCGGGCUGCAACACCCCGCACGAUGCCCCCUCUGCGACAAGGCACCUGAAACCAUGCACCACCUCAUCCUCGCAUGCCCCUUCGCCCGGCAGACCUGGCACGAGACACUGCUGGCUACGGAUCCCGUGUACCCAGCCAGACAACGAGCCCUCACUCCUGGACUGGUGGCAAUCGGCACGACAAUCCGCCCCAACGCCCAUGCGCAAGGGCCUGGGUACCAUGACCCUCCUCGUCCCCUGGAUGAUAUGGAAGCACCGCAACGACUGCGUCUUCAACGGAGCGCGCCCAUCGGUGAACGCCCUGCUAACGAAGAUCAAGGAAGAGGCCUCCCUUUGGGCAAGCGCGGGCGCACUAGGGCUCAGAGCCAUUACCCCUAG
rnacentral:rRNA from 1 species